CCGAUAACUCUGGAAUAGCCUUUCGAAAGAAAGAUUAAUACCGGAUGGCAUACGAAUAUCGCAUGAUAUUUUUAUUAAAGAAUUUCGGUUAUCGAUGGGGAUGCGUUCCAUUAGUUUGUUGGCGGGGUAACGGCCCACCAAGACAACGAUGGAUAGGGGUUCUGAGAGGAAGGUCCCCCACAUUGGAACUGAGACACGGUCCAAACUCCUACGGGAGGCAGCAGUGAGGAAUAUUGGUCAAUGGGCGAGAGCCUGAACCAGCCAAGUAGCGUGAAGGAUGAAGGCUCUAUGGGUCGUAAACUUCUUUUAUAUGGGAAUAAAGUUUUCCACGUGUGGAAUUUUGUAUGUACCAUAUGAAUAAGGAUCGGCUAACUCCGUGCCAGCAGCCGCGGUAAUACGGAGGAUCCGAGCGUUAUCCGGAUUUAUUGGGUUUAAAGGGAGCGUAGGUGGAUUGUUAAGUCAGUUGUGAAAGUUUGCGGCUCAACCGUAAAAUUGCAGUUGAAACUGGCAGUCUUGAGUACAGUAGAGGUGGGCGGAAUUCGUGGUGUAGCGGUGAAAUGCUUAGAUAUCACGAAGAACUCCGAUUGCGAAGGCAGCUCACUAGACUGUUACUGACACUGAUGCUCGAAAGUGUGGGUAUCAAACAGGAUUAGAUACCCUGGUAGUCCACACAGUAAACGAAGAAUACUCGCUGUUUGCGAUAUACAGUAAGCGGCC
rnacentral:rRNA from 1 species